AUGCAAGUCGAACGGUCCGACAGUGAGCUCGGAGAUAGUUUACUAUUGAAGAGCACAUUGAAGGAUAGUGGCGGAUGGGUGAGUAACACGUGGAUAAUCUGCCUGUAACACCGGGAUAACACUGUGAAAACGGUGCUAAUACCGGAUACCUUCUCGAAGACACAAGUCCUUGAGAAGAAAGCUCCGGCGGUUACAGAUGAGUCCGCGGCUGAUUAGCUAGUUGGUGAGGUAACGGCUCACCAAGGCGAUGAUCAGUAGCCGGUCUGAGAGGAUGGGCGGCCACACUGGGACUGAGACACGGUCCAGACUCCUACGGGAGGCAGCAGUGGGGAAUUUUCCGCAAUGGGCGCAAGCCUGACGGAGCGACGCCGCGUGAGUGAAGAAGGCCUUCGGGUUGUAAAGCUCUGUCCUAUGGGAAGAAGGAAGUGACGGUACCAUAGGAGGAAGCCACGGCUAACUACGUGCCAGCAGCCGCGGUAAUACGUAGGUGGCCAGCGUUGUCCGGAAUUACUGGGCGUAAAGGGCACGCAGGCGGUAUUUUAAGUCGAAUGUGUAAACUACGGGCUUAACCCGUAAUUGGAUUCGAAACUGGAAUACUUGAGGGUAGGAGAGGACAGUGGAAUUCCUAGUGUAGCGGUGAAAUGCGUAGAUAUUAGGAGGAACACCAGUGGCGAAGGCGGCUGUCUGGCCUACAACUGACGCUGAGGUGCGAAAGCGUGGGUAGCAACAGGAUUAGAUACCCUGGUAGUCCACGCCGUAACGAUGGGUACUAGGUGUGGGAGGUAUCGACCCCUUCUGUGCCGGAGUUAACACAAUAAGUACCCCGCCUGGGGACUACGGUCGCAAGACUAAAACUCAAAGGAAUUGACGGGGGCCCGCACAAGCGGUGGAGCAUGUGGUUUAAUUCGACGCAACGCGAAGAACCUUACCAGGAUUUGACAUCCUCUGAACACCACAGAGAUGUGGUUUUCGAUCUUCGGAUUGGCAGAGAGACAGGUGGUGCAUGGUUGUCGUCAGCUCGUGUCGUGAGAUGUUGGGUUAAGUCCCGCAACGAGCGCAACCCUUAUUCUUAGUUGCCAGCAUUUCGGGUGGGCACUCUAAGGAGACUGCCGGUGACAAACCGGAGGAAGGUGGGGAUGACGUCAAAUCAUCAUGCCCUUUAUGUCCUGGGCUACACACGUGCUACAAUGGCCUGUACAGCGGGUAGCGAAACUGCGAAGUGGAGCCAAUCCCUAAAAGCAGGUCUCAGUUCGGAUUGCAGGCUGCAACUCGCGUGCAUGAAGUAGGAAUCGCUAGUAUCGCGGAUCAGCAUGCCGC
rnacentral:rRNA from 1 species